AUACAAAGAGAAGCGACCUCGCGAGAGC
rnacentral:rRNA from 1 species